CUCUCAUCCAUGAAGACCUGACCAGAGGAAUCCUGACACUGACACUCUCUUCAGUAAAGCUGUCUGACAGUGGACCAUACAAGGUCUACGUCCCAAAACUGGAUGCCGGUUGUGUCAUUGACCUCAGUGUUGUAACCAAAGAUCAAGAGAACGUAGCUCCUGUAGAUGAGCCUCUGUGGAAAAUUGUCUUCCAUGUCUGCGGUUGUGUCACUGUUAUCGUUCUUGCCACUUUUCUUAUCCUGUUGAAGUCUAAAAGGAUCUUUUCUUAAGAAGAAGACGCCCAGAGGAGUGAAGGGGCCAGAAGAUGAGACAAUGAUGCAAAAGACACAAGCAACAGAUGAGGAUGAAGACCCACACAGCGCUGCAGUGAAUGGCCUGAGAGAGGUGGUGGUCUGAGACGAUAACCACUCAUCCUGACAACAUUAGAAAACCUUCCAUACUUCUUCACCUGAAGCAAAGCCUUUUCCUCCACAACAGUAAAGUUGAUUUUAUAUAUGUAGCCCAGUAUCACAAAUCUGCCUCGAGGAAGGGAUUUUGGUAGUGUAUCAGGAGAAAGGGUUAAGCUGAGCAGUUACAGUAGGUUUUUUAAUAGUGCCGUAUUUUUUUAAUUUUUUUUAUGUAAGACGGCAACCUGCAGUGUAUCAGCGACGCAGGAAACCUGAUCAAGAAUACUGCUUUAUUUGCACAGUUUGAUGUUUGAUAUGUUUGUAGUGUUCUUUGCUCCGUCUGCCCACACUGGCUCUAAAAUCACAGGUAGCAUAUAUCGAUAGUUCUUGUUAUUGAUCAAGAUGACGUUUAUGAAUUUCCUUCAAGCCUUACAAUAAUAUUAUCACUUUGGAUUAUGUUUUAAUGUUUGGU